rnacentral:rRNA from 1 species
AACUACGCGAAAGCGUGGCUAAUACCGCAUACGCCCUGAGGGGAAAGCGGGGGAUUCUUCGGAACCUCGCGCAAUUGGAGCGGCCGAUGUCAGAUUAGCUUGUUGGUGAGGUAAAGGCUCACCAAGGCGACGAUCUGUAGCGGGUCUGAGAGGAUGAUCCGCCACACUGGGACUGAGACACGGCCCAGACUCCUACGGGGAGGCAGCAGGUGGGGUAAUUUUGGACAAUGGGGGCAACCCUGAUCCAGCCAUGCCGCGUGAGUGAAGAAGGCCUUCGGGUUGUAAAGCUCUUUCAGCCGGGAAGAAAACGCACUCUCUAACAUAGGGUGUGGAUGACGGUACCGGACCAAGAAGCACCGGCUAACUACGUG